rnacentral:rRNA from 1 species
AGAUUAAGAAAACUUUAUUGAUGUACCUUUUGUAUCAGGGGGGUUUAAAAGUAUAAUUAAAAUAUGAUCGAUUUUGUCAUAUCUUUUUUAUUUACGGGUAGUUGAAUUUAAUUGUUUAAAAUAUUAAGAGGUGAAAAGUGUACGGUGAUGGUGGUAUCUAAUUAUUUUAGGGUUUAAGGGUUAAGCUUUAAUAAUUUUAUUUUAUAGUAUUUUUAUGAAAACUAGGCUUUAAAUUAGCUAUGUUAGUAUAUUGUUUUAAAUAAUCUUAGAGUUAUUUAUAUAUAUAAAGCUACUAAUAUAAUGUUAAUAGCUAACACUUAGUAAAAAUAAUGAAUUCAUUGUAUAAUAAAAGAGACUAAAAAAAAACUAAUAAUAAGAUAGAAAGUUUAUCAAAAACAUUUCUUUUUGUUGAUUAAAAAGUAAGGCCUGCCCUGUGAUAUUUAACGGCUGCGGUAUUUUGACUGUGCAAAGGUAGCAUAAUCAUUUGUUUUUUAAUUGGUAACUGGAAUGAAAGGUUAAACUAUCUUGUUAAGUUUGUAUAGUCAAACAAGAGAUUUAAGUAAAGGUAAGAAUUCUUUUAUUCCCUAGGGGACGAUAAGACCCUAAAAGCUUAAUAAAUAGACUAAAUGUUAGUUGUGUAGUAAAAUUUGUUUUACUGGGGCGGUGUAAGUACACAAACUACUAUAAAAUUGGUUGUUCCUACACAUAUAGAUAAAACAGAUAAGUUACUUUAGGGAUAACAGUACAAUAUUUUUGGAGAGAUCUUAUCGAUAAAGAUGUUUGUAACCUCGAUGUUGAAUUAAAAUGUCUAUGUAGAGCAAAAAACACAAAAGAAGGUUUGUUCAACC